UAUGCUGAUGACCAAGGUUUUCAUCCGAUGCAAAAUUCGAUGCAUGCACGGAAGACCCGCCUCUGCGAUACCAUGGCCUUCACUCCUUGAAUCCAUAGCCCUUCUUGCCGUCAUGUUGUUCACUGAAGCGGAGCUUCCAGUAGCUCCCGAUCAUACCUCCAUAUGAUCUAGUCCCUCCCGGGACUCAGUCGUGUGUAUCGCAUUGCCACGAACUGUUCCACCACGAUCCGCUGCACCAUGUCGCCUCCUAGUGACAUCUCCAUUGCAUUUUGAUCCUUGUGGAAUAAACUCGAAUUGUGAACCCUCCAUGUGUGGCCUCUGCCAAUACAUCGCAGGGUCUCCUCCACCUUCGAUUUUGUUCGCUCCUUUGGCAAUCGACCUUCAUCCACCCACUCUUGGGUCACAUCUAGAUGAAGCACCGCUCUAGGACAAUCCGUCGCCUAGUAGCUCCCGAAGUCCACCGACUUCACUAUAAUUUGUGCACCAUUGUCUGGAUCCUGGGCCUCUGCCCCAACCAGCACAAUCUCCGCUGCGCACUACUUCCUUCAUGGCAACUUGAAUGGCAACACUGUGGCAUAUUCUUCAAGAGUACCCGCCUCUGCGUCCUCUUGCCCCAUGCUAAGGCCUUUUGAACCCAACUUCGCCUCCGUAAAUUGAGUCGCCUUAGUUCCUCCAUCAAAUGCUCCUCCGAGAUAAGGUGCAUGUGCCCAGAAGCUCCCUUCGUCUUUGGCACCAUGCAAGAUGAGUCCGCUCCGUUAGAAAGAAGGACCCAUGGAACAACAUGAUCCUACUCUUGCCUCUGCAAGAGUUCAUG
rnacentral:lncRNA from 1 species